UUAUGGCCAUAUCAUGUUGAAACACUGGUUCUCCUCAGAUCACCAAUGUUAAGCAAUGUCAAGCCUGGUCAGUACCUAGAUGGGAGACCAAUUGAGAAUACCAAGUGCUGUAAG